rnacentral:rRNA from 1 species
AGUGGCGGACGGGUGAGUAACGCGUGAACAAUCUGCCUAUGUCAGGGGAAUAACACUAAGAAAUUGGUGCUAAUACCGCAUAAGACCACGAGGAGGCAUCUUCUUGGGGUAAAAGAUUUAUCGGACAUAGAUGAGUUCGCGUCCCAUUAGGUAGUUGGUGAGGUAACGGCUCACCAAGCCGACGAUGGGUAGCCGACCUGAGAGGGUGAUCGGCCACAUUGGAACUGAGAGACGGUCCAGACUCC